rnacentral:rRNA from 1 species
GUAGCGCGUCUGAGAGGAUGAUCCGCCACACUGGAACUGAGACACGGUCCAGACUCCUACGGGAGGCAGCAGUGGGGAAUUUUGGACAAUGGGGGCAACCCUGAUCCAGCCAUGCCGCGUGAGUGAAGAAGGCCUUCGGGUUGUAAAGCUCUUUCGGCCGGGAAGAAAUCGCAUGGGCUAAUACCCUGUGCGGAUGACGGUACCGGCAUAAGAAGCACCGGCUAACUACGUGCCAGCAGCCGCGGUAAUACGUAGGGUGCGAGCGUUAAUCGGAAUUACUGGGCGUAAAGCGUGCGCAGGCGGUUUUGUAAGACAGGCGUGAAAUCCCCGGGCUCAACCUGGGAACUGCGUUUGUGACUGCAAGGCUAGAGUACGGCAGAGGGGGGUGAAUUCCACGUGUAGCAGUGAAAUGCGUAGAGAUGUGGAGGAACACCAAUGGCGAAGGCAGCCCCCUGGGUCGAUACUGACGCUCAUGCACGAAAGCGUGGGUAGCAAACAGGAUUAGAUACCCUGGUAGUCCACGCCCUAAACGAUGUCAACUAGGUGUUGGGUGGGUAAAACCAUUUAGUACCGGAGCUAACGCGUGAAGUUGACCGCCUGGGGAGUACGGCCGCAAGGUUAAAACUCAAAGGAAUUGACGGGGACCCGCACAAGCGGUGGAUGAUGUGGAUUAAUUCGAUGCAACGCGAAAAACCUUACCUACCCUUGACAUGUCCAGAAGCCUGAAGAGAUUUGGGUGUGCCCGAAAGGGAACUGGAACACAGGUGCUGCAUGGCUGUCGUCAGCUCGUGUCGUGAGAUGUUGGGUUAAGUCCCGCAACGAGCGCAACCCUUGUCGUUAAUUGCCAUCAUUCAGUUGGGCACUUUAACGAGACUGCCGGUGACAAACCGGAGGAAGGUGGGGAUGACGUCAAGUCCUCAUGGCCCUUAUGGGUAGGGCUUCACACGUCAUACAAUGGUCGGUACAAAGGGUUGCCAAGCCGCGAGGUGGAGCCAAUCCCAGAAAGCCGAUCGUAGUCCGGAUCGUAGGCUGCAACUCGCCUGCGUGAAGUCGGAAUCGCUAGUAAUCGUGGAUCAGCAUGUCACGGUGAAUACGUUCCCGGGUCUUGUACACACCGCCCGUCACACCAUGGGAGCGGGUUCCGCCAGAAGUAGGUAGCCUAACCGCAAGGGGGGCGCUUACCACGGCGGGGUUCGUGACUGGGGUGAAGUCGAACAAGGUA